rnacentral:lncRNA from 1 species
AGCUGGAAUGCAGGGAUGUGAUCAUGGCUCACUGUAGCCUUGACCUCCCGGGCUCAAUCAGUCCUCCCACCUCAGCCUCCUGAGUAGCUGGGACUAAAGGAGUGUGCCACCAUGCUGGCUAAUUUUAUGUGUGUGUGAGAUAGGGUUUCACCAUAUUGCCCAGGCUGGUCUCAAACUCCUGGACUCAGCGAUCUACCUGCUUCAGCCUCCCAAAGUGUUGGGAUUACAGCCAUGAGCCAUAGCUGCUCCUGGACUACGGUCUUCCUCUCAUUACCUUCUGAUAUUAAUUAAUGUAUAUUACCUUAUUGUCUGAUCCCUCUCUGGAGUAUAAGCUCACUGAGUACAGAGACCUGUCUCACCAUGGUCUCCCUAGCGCAGCCUGGCACAUGACAGAGGCUGAAAUAUUUACGGAAUGAACAAACGGAGAAUGACCUGUAACACUCAGGCCUUGCAUUUCAUCUGAGGCUCAAAGAGAUGGAGUUUGUCCAGAGAUUGCAGGCUCUGAGCCCUCACAUCUCCUAUGGCCUUAUUUCCAUCUGGCUUCUCUGGGGUCCUGGGUAUGAGGUCCUAGCUCAAGUCAAGACAUGGAGACAUCAGAGCUGGGUACCACCUCUUGCACCCUCAUUGCACCCUAGCCCUCUCUGGGGUUCCUGCAGUCCUCCCAGAACCUCUGCAUGGGACUGAGGCUAGCCAGCUGGUGCUUGGCUAGAAAAGCUAUCGGUUGAUCAAUGAAUAUUUGCAGAGAGCCUCCUGCAGGUUCACCCUAGGCCUAAAGUGAAGGCAGAAUGCCUUGAAAUCUGCUGCUGGGGAGUGUCCCGGGAUAACCUGGUAGAGACCAGGCCUGUUGAAUUCCCCAGCUGUCCUGAAGCCUCCUCCAUGACACUUACUGGGUAGUAUAAAGUCUAACCCUGAAUGAUAGUUUGUGAUUUCACACUGAAAAAUGUCAAUGACACACAGUGUGACAUUCCAGUUUGCUGGUUAGCAUGACCCUUCCUCCCUGAAGGCCACAGCUUUUCAAGGCAUGGUCUGUAGACCCUCUGCAAUAAACAAUAACAUGUUUGUGGAACAACGAAGCAGAUUCCUAGCCAGCCCAGACUUGCUGGUUUGGAAUCUCUGCAGUGAGUCUUGGAAUAUGCGUUUAUCUCAACAGUAUAUCACUGGUACGACAUCACACAACUAGUAAUUGGUAGAGAAAGAUUCAACCCAGACAGUUGGGCUCCAGAGCCUGUCCUCUUAACUUUUACUCAGUGGUGUCUCUCAGUUCAUCACAGGCUCACAGCCACCUGUCCCACUGGGAAUGUCUGGAACAAUCACCUCUCUAGUUUCCAUUUGCACCCUUCCAACAAGCAGGUCCAGUCCCCCUUCUGGUGGCCACCUUUUUACUUUGGUUACAUGUGAUGAAAUCUCUUGUGAAUAUGCAGGUAUGUAUGUCUCCCCCAUAAGUUCAGAGGGCAGGAAGUUAUUCGAUUCACUUCUGCAUCCCUGGAAGCCAGGGCAGGGCCUGGCCCAGACCAACAUCAGUUUCUGUGGGUUGCAAGAAGUAUAUAUUCAACCAACCAAUACUUCUUGUGCCUACGACCUGCCAGGCCCUUUCUAGGCACUUGGAAUUCAGCAUUAU